rnacentral:rRNA from 1 species
UACGUAGGGUGCGAGCGUUAAUCGGAAUUACUGGGCGUAAAGCGUGCGCAGGCGGUGAUGUAAGACAGAUGUGAAAUCCCCGGGCUCAACCUGGGAGCUGCAUUUGUGACUGCAUCGCUGGAGUGCGGCAGAGGGGGAUGGAAUUCCGCGUGUAGCAGUGAAAUGCGUAGAUAUGCGAAGGAACACCGAUGGCGAAGGCAGCCCCCUGGGCUAACACUGACGCUCAGGCACGAAAGGCGUGGGGGAGCAAAACAGG